rnacentral:rRNA from 1 species
UACGGGGGGUGCAAGCGUUAUUCGGAAUCAUUGGGCGUAAAGGGCGCGUAGGCGGUCCUGUAAGUCAGAUGUGAAAUACUUUCGCUUAACGGAAGAAGUGCAUUUGAAACUGCAGGACUUGAGUAUGGGAGAGGGAAGUGGAAUUCCUGGUGUAGAGGUGAAAUUCGUAGAUAUCAGGAGGAACACCCGUGGCGAAGGCGACUUCCUGGACCAAUACUGACGCUGAGGCGCGAAGGCGUGGGGAGCAAACAGG